CACGUAGGCACCAAGCGUUGUCCGGAUUUAUUGGGCGUAAAGGGCUCGUAGGCGGUUCGGUAAGUCGGGUGUGAAAACUCUGGGCUCAACCCAGAGCCGCCACCCGAUACUGCUGUGACUCGAGUGCGGUAGGGGAGCGGGGAAUUCCUGGUGUAGCGGUGAAAUGCGCAGAUAUCAGGAAGAACACCCGUGGCGAAGGCGGCUCUCUGGGACGGUACUGACGCUGAGACGCGAAAGCGUGGGGAGCGAACAGG
rnacentral:rRNA from 1 species